rnacentral:rRNA from 1 species
AUUGAACGCUGGCGGCAGGCCUAACACAUGCAAGUCGAACGAGUGGCGGACGGGGGAGUAAUGUCUGGGAAACUGCCCGAUGGAGGGGGAUAACUACUGGAAACGGUAGCUAAUACCGCAUACCCUCGGGUGUGCGCAGAGGUGAUUAGCUUUUAGGGGAGGUCACGGCUCACCUAGGCGACGCUCCCUAGCUGGUCUGAGAGGAUGACCAGCCACACUGGAACUGAGCCACGGUCCAGACUCCUACGGGAGGCAGCAGUGGGGAAUAUUGCACAAGGGGCGCAAGCCUGAUGCAGCCAUGCCGCGUGUAUGAAGAAGGCCUUCGGGUUGUAAAGUACUUUCAGCGGGGAGGCGUUACCCGCAGAAGAAGCACCGGCUAACUCCGUGCCAGCAGCCGCGGUAAUUC